rnacentral:rRNA from 1 species
UACGAAGGGGGCUAGCGUUGCUCGGAAUCACUGGGCGUAAAGGGUGCGUAGGCGGGUCGUUAAGUCAGGGGGGAAAGCCCGGGGCUCAACUCCGGAAUUGCCUUUAAGACUGCAUCGCUAGAAUUGUGGAGAGGUGAGUGGAAUUCCGAGUGUAGAGGUGAAAUUCGUAGAUAUCGAGAGGAACACCUGCGGCGAAGGCGGGUUGCUGGGCUGACACUGACGCUGAGGCGCGAAAGCCAGGGGAGCGAACGGG